AUUUUAAAUGGCUGCAGUAUUUUGACUGUACAAAGGUAGCAUAAUCAUUUGUCUUUUAAUUGAAGGCUGGUAUGAAUGGUUGGAUGAAAAAUAUACUUUCUUUAUUUUAUAAAAAUAAAUUAACUUUUUAGUCAAAAGGCUAAGAUUUUAUUAUAGGACGAGAAGACCCUAUAGAGCUUUAUUUUCUUUUUAUAUAAUUUUUUUAGUUUUUAAUAAGUUUAUAUAUUUAUGUUAAUUAUUUUGGGGUGACAGAAAAAAUAAUAUAACUUUUUCUACUUUUUUCAUUUAUGUAUGUUGUUUUUGAUCUUAUAUUAUAGAUAAUAAGAUUAAGUUACCUUAGGGAUAACAGCGUUAUUUUCUUAAAGAGUUCUUAUCGAUAAGAAAGUUUGCGACCUCGAUGUUGGAUUAAAAUAAGUGAUAGGAGCAGAAUAUUAUUUACUAGGUCUGU
rnacentral:rRNA from 1 species